rnacentral:rRNA from 1 species
CUAUCCUACGGGACGCAGCAGUGGGGAAUAUUGCACAAUGGGGGAAACCCUGAUGCAGCGACGCCGCGUGAGUGAAGAAGUAAUUCGUUAUGUAAAGCUCUAUCAGCAGGGAAGAAAAUGACGGUACCUGAGUAAGAAGCCCCGGCUAACUACGUGCCAGCAGCCGCGGUAAUACGUAGGGAGCGAGCGUUGUCCGGAAUUACUGGGUGUAAAGGGAGCGUAGGCGGGGAUGCAAGUUGGGUGUCAAAACUACCGGCUCAACUGGUAGUCGCACUCAAAACUGCAGCUCUUGAGUGAAGUAGAGG